rnacentral:lncRNA from 1 species
AAAAAAAAAAAAAAAAUGCAGUUGCUAAAAGACAAAAAACUCAAUGGAAAGGUUAAAGGUUAAAUAAUAGACUAGACAUAAUUGGAGAAGUAAAUGUAUGACAGAUCCAAGGAAAUCACCAAUGAGAUUUAAAAAAUAAAAAAAUAUGAAAAAAUUGGUUAAGAAACAUAGAGAUAUAAGGAAGAUCCAACCCACAUCUAAUAGAAUCUCCAAGGGAAUGGAAAAUGAGAGGGAGACAAUAUUUAAAGAGAUAACAGCUGGUAAUUUUCUAGAGUUGAAGAGAGAUAUAAAUCCUCUAAUGAACAACAACAGAGCUAUAUCCAGUCUUCUCAUGACAAAACUGAAGAACAUUAAAGACAGAGAAAAUCUUUAGAACUCAUCAUGGUUAUCUGGCUUGUGGACCGUUAAACCUGGUGUUUUCCCUGUCUCCUGCACGGUACGGUACACACCAAAGAAGAAAAUCACGUUAUUUAAACAUGAUGAAGUUUUGCCUUUUGUUUUGUACUCUUCUACCCAAGGGAACUUACAAAUCAAUAAACCUUAAAGGGACAGAAUAAUGGCUGUAUGUUACCUAACACGCAAUAAUUAGUAAUAACUAUAUUAUCCUUCAAAUGAAUAAGACGUGGGUGAUCAAUAUGGCUUACAUUAUUUUCCUAACAGUGGUACCAGAUUUGGACUAAGUUAUGGAGAUACCCAGACAUUGUUAUCAAAUCCUCUUAACACUGAACACAUUUUCAGGAUGACAGUCAAAGAGGAAGAGGAUAGCAUGUGGCAAGGAAGAGCUACCUGCCUAGGCAAAAAUAAACUUAGCACCACAGCUUCAUCAUGGAAUUAGCCUGCUAUAGAAGAAGGACUUGAUUUAACUCACACAGAAUCUGAAAGAACUCCCUUAACUGGAUUUUCACCUAUCUUUUAUGUUUGUCAUUAAUUGAAGCAAAUUAUAGGAUAGCUAAGGUUAUGAAUUAACGGUUUUAGGGAAGAAAUAGAAGGGAAGGCAUAUGGCCUUUGAAUCCUGAGAAAUCUAUAUCACCCCUUAUUAUUUUUUUAUUGCUUCUUAACUAACAGUUACAAUUACCACCAUGUGUAAAAUAAGAUCAGUUUCAGGAUGACUUCAAGGCCCAAGUUUAUAACAUUGGCAGGCUACAGGAGGUGGGAUGAGUCCUGCCAAAGCUAACAGCUAAUUUGGGGAAGUCUACUCGGACAACUUUGGUAAAAUCAGCUAAACUCUCCUUAGUCUUUGUUUGCAGAAGUAGCAGCAGCUAGCUAACACCUUCUGAUUGCUCACCAUGUGCCCUUGACUGAGUUAAAUGUGUUAUAUGCAGACAACUGCGGUUGAAACAAGCUGCUACUCAUUAGCAGGAUGACUUAACCAUAAAAAUCUUCAAUUUUCUCUGGAAAAUGGGGAUAAUAAGCUCAUAUAAUCUCCUAGGGUUGCUGGGAGAAUUAAAUCAGAAGCUAUGAUAAUAAGGCAAACAGAUGCUUCUGGAGUGUAGCAGAUUGUAUUUCUGAAAAUGGCCACAAGAAUGUGCUCUCCUAGAACCUUGCCCAUGCCCCCAUCAAGAGGUGGAUGGUUCUUUGUGACAGCCACACUGAAUAGGAUGUGGUGGAGGUGGUACUGUGUGACUGGCUAAUAAAAGGUAAUAUGGCCUCUGUCUCUCUCUCGUUCUGUACUAUAAGAGUUCUGAACCAUCCUGUGACAAGUCUAGUUACCCUAAAGCUGUCAUGCAGGAGAGACCAUGUGGAGAGAAGGAGAGUUAGAGAGAGGAGGAGCCCCUGCUGUUUGAGUAUUCUCAGCCCAGACACCAGACAUGAGUGAGGAAGCAUUCAGACCCCAACUCCAGUUUAAAAACGCCACCACUCAACAGCCUGUUUUCUGAGCCUAUGACCACAUAUAUGCUGCAGAACCCUUUCAGGGUGUAUCUGAAACUACUUCUCUUAAAGGCAAGCUGUAACUGGUGCCAGAAAAGACAGAAGCUGAUUGAGGUCCCAGCUUGGUAACAGUUUGAAGAGUUGCAGGACUGGCUGGAUGAGUACUGGCUGCAGCAAAUCAGGCUGCCAGGAUUCUUUAUGGCUGUUUCUGCUUCCACUACAGCUGAGUCAGAAAGGUCGCUGCCCCGUGGUGGCACUAGACGCAGUGGACCUGGCAAGCAAAUGUUUCCGCUAUUAGCUCUCAGCAACAGAGACUCAUUUAUGGUCACCUUGGAAAUCUGGGCUUAUCGAUCUACAGCCCAAGUCUGCUGAGAAGCUGGAGCUUACUAAAGGGGAAACCUGAGAGCUGUUCAAGCCCCAAAUAUUUUCCACUUCUGCGUCACCUCUGCUGUCUGUUAGCAGAGUGGAGGAGAAAAUACACAGCACAAACAACGUGAAAAAAUAGUUACUCUAUUCAUUAAAAGCUGUAACUUCCAGAUUGGACUUGAGAAGCAAUUAAGCAACAGAGGAACCUCAUCUACUAUCUGUAUUCAGGGUAUGAUUUACAUACCGUAACAUUCACCCAUUUUAUGUUUAGAGUUUGAUGAGUUUUAGUAAUUUACACAGUUGUGCACCAUCAGCACACUCUCACCCACGACUUCUGAUCUCUGUAGAAUGAAGUGGAGGGCAGGCCAUCUGUUGUGUUUGCACAUAGAGAUGAAUAAUGAGCAGCAGUACUGUUUUGUCUGUAGCCUUGUCCUACUGAUAUUGGGACUUCAUCCUUCCACAUAUGUAGCACAGUGCCUGGCACAAAGUAGGAGCUCAAUAACUGCUGAAUGAAUGGAUGAACUGACGUCUAUAGUUGGUUCAAGGUGCAGCAGUUUGAGCAUGUUUGCUUUUUUUUUUGUUCUCACAUAAUUUUAUUGAGAUUUACAACUUCUUUUUUUGCCAUUAAAAUUUUAUUUUAUUAUUUAUUUAUUUAUUUAUUUUUUGGGAGGAAGCAGACGGCAAAAGUGGUAAAUGAUGAUAAGGAUGGCCUAAGAGAUUAAGCCCUCAGGGAAGGAGGGAGAGGUAAUAGGGAGAAAUGUGAAAGGGAGGAAAUUAAGCAAUCUUUGCAGGCUCUCCACUCAAAGUUUGGUCCAGUGUAGCAGCAGCAGCAUCACCUGGGGGCCUGUUAGAAAUGCAGUGCUUCAGGACCAACCCCAGACCUACUGAAUCAGA